UAUUCCAGUAGCAUCGAAGGUGUAGCGUGAGCUAUGCUGGAGCAGCUGGAAAAGAAAAUGUAGGAAUGAGUAACGAUUAAUACGGUCAGAAACCGUAUCGCCGUAAGACUAAGGUUUCCUGGAUCGAUGUUCGACAGACCAGGGUGAGUCGGGACCUAAGAAAAACCCGAGAGGGGUAUUCGAUGGCAAACGGGUUAAUAUUCCCGUACCAGUUUACAAUAAAAGGGGACGGAGAUCUGAACUGAUCGCGCACUGACGGAAUAGUGCGUUGAACCAAUCGCAAGGUUGGGAUAGUACUCCAAUCCCGCAAGGGUGAGGAGAUAGUGUCAGGUAAGGUCUUCCAAGAAAAGCCGAAGUAAACUGCUCGUACCGCAAUCCGACACAGGUAGUCGAGGAGAGUAUCCUCAGGCGCUCGAACGAUUCAUGGCUAAGGAACUAGGCAAAUUAGACGCGUAACUUCGGGAGAAGCGUCCCUCUUAGUAAUAAGAGGCGCAGUGAAACGGCCCAGGCGACUGUUUAGCAAAAACACAGGACUAUGCUAAUUCGAAAGAAGACGUAUAUGGUCUGACACCUGCCCGGUGCUGGAAGGUUAAGGAAGGGGGUUAGCGCAAGCGAAGCUCUUGACUGAAGCCCCAGUAAACGGCGGCCGUAACGAUAACGGUCCUAAGGUAGCGAAAUUCCUUGUCGGGUAAGUUCCGACCUGCACGAAUGGUGUAACGAUCUGGGCUCUGUCUCAGCCAUGAUUUCGGUGAAAUUGAAGUAUCGGUGAAGAUGCCGGUUACCCGCAACGGGACGAAAAGACCCCGUGCACCUUUACUAUAGCUUCACAUUGGUCUUGAGUCUAAAAUGUGUAGGAUAGCUGGGAGACUUUGAAGCCGCCACGCCAGUGGUGGUGGAGUCGUCCUUGAAAUACCAGCCUUUUUAUAUUUAGGUUCUAAUCCCUAAAGGGAGACAGUGUGUGGUGGGUAGCUUGACUGGGGUGGUCGCCUCCAAAAGAGUAACGGAGGCUCGCAAAGGUGCCCUCAGUACCGUUGGUAAUGGUACGAAGAGCGUAUGAGUAUAAGGGUGCUUGACUGAGAGAACGACGGUUCGACCAGGUGCGAAAGCAGGCUCAAGUGAUCCGGUAACUCCACAUGGGUGGGUUAUCGCUCAUAGGAUAAAAGGUACGCCGGGGAUAACAGGCUGAUCUCCCCCAAGAGCUCAUAUCGACGGGGAGGUUUGGCACCUCGAUGUCGGUUCGUCACAUCCUGGGGCUGGAGAAGGUCCCAAGGGUUGGGCUGUUCGCCCAUUAAAGUGGCACGUGAACUGGGUUCAGAACGUCGCAAGACAGUUCGGUCUCUAUCUGUUGCGGGCGCGGGAAUAUUGAGAAGAUCUGACACUAGUACGAGAGGACCGUGUUGGACGUACCGCUAGUGUACCAGUUGUGGCGCCAGCUGCACCGCUGGGUAGCUAUGUACGGAACGGAUAAGCGCUGAAAGCAUCUAAGCACGAAGCCGUCUUCAAGAUGAGUAUUCCAUUCUCCCUUGCGGAGAUGAAGGGUCGUAGGAGACUACUACGUUGAUAGGCUAUAGGUGGAAGUGCAGUGAUGUAUGGAGCCGAGUAGUACUAAUAACCCGAAAGCUUCCCAA
rnacentral:rRNA from 1 species